GGGCGCUGCAGCAGCCGGGCGGACGCAGGGCUGGCCCUGGCCUGGCUCCGCAGCCGCGGCGGGUCCUGCCCGGCCCGUGCCGCUGGAGGGCAGUGAUCGCAUGCCCGGAGAGGAGAGCACACAGCCCAAAACACACCGCCCAAAGACUGCUUAGAUCGCCUUGACGGAGUAAGAAAUCCCAAAUUCACAAGUACGGUCUAAUGCAGCAGGCAUCAAGCGAUGCUUAGCAGGCCGGAGGCAUUGAAGGAAGUUUUUAAAAAAAGAAUAAGAAAAUGUAUACGACUUUGCAUACUUCCUGUUGGAGCUCAAAUGGAGCUCAAAAUGAGCUGUGUUGUGGACUUUUUUGUUGUUGUUGUUGUUGUUGUUGGAAGGAGUUAGUGCUUCAUGCUUUUAUAAUGCAGCUUCAUAAAUUCAUCUGAUGUAUGCAAAAAUGUCCUAUGAACCCCUUUCAGAGGUGGGGGGCUGAAGUCCAAUUUCUUAGUUUGCAGCUGGCAUCAUCAUCUCUCCUGUGUUUUUACAGAAUUUAACAUAACCUGAGCUCAGUCCAGUGGCUGCCCAAAGGCCCUGUUUCAGCAGAUGUGCCUGGCAGGAGCAGUGGUGCUUUAUUAUGUCAGAUUUCACACUGUUGGCCCACAAUACAAGACAUGUCUUUGACCUCUGGUGCCCACAUUUUCCUCAGGGUGAUAACUCUACAGAAAAUGCUGCAUUCUCUCUGGGUCAUGUGAGAAGCCUCUUUGGCAUGAGCUUGUGAGAGCUGCUGUGGGCAGCAGAAGGUUGCCCAGUUGUUCGCCUGACUUCCAGCUGCGGAUGCUGUACACCUGCAAAAGGUAAUUGCACCUUCAGCUGAGGUGAGUGUUCUUAUUUUGUAUCAAAGCUUAUAUUUUAAAUCAUUUCAUUUGGUAGAUUGUGCUCAAGUUCUAAUGUCAUAGCUUUAAACUGCUCAAUUAGUGACAUGCACUAGUCCUUCUUCCUACAAAAUGAAUGUGAAGAUUUAAUACAGGAGAUGGUUAGGAAAGUGGAAAGUAAGAAAUAAGGUGUUCAGGAAUAACCAAGGAUUAAUGAAAGAGUCCAAGACCUUUAUGCAUGCACAGAAAGGCUGGUGUGAAAGCCUGGCUCCCACAGGACACUCACUGGGGUGUCCUGAGUGUUCCAGCCCAAGGGAGCACCCCAAGUGGGCAUGGAAGACAGCAGGGAUUCACAAGGCAGCACCAUAGCUAAGUGGUGCCUGAAACCACCUCCCAAGGGAUGUUUGAAGUCUGGAUGGUCCUGGACUGCUGGCCAAGCUUUUAUGAUCCACAGUCCAUCAGCAGAGAAAUCAUAAAUAAGUAUCUGUGUGCUCAGCAGCACUUGGAUAUGGGGAUCAGUUUUGUUUACACCGUGAGCUCUGUGAGUGCUCAGUGCUGUGGCUAUGCCACUGCUUUUUAGUUUGGAUUGGUGCACUCCAUUUACUUUGUUCCCUUUUUCUUCAACUUGUUCUUGUGACUGGACCCUGAUUCAGUCUGAAGAGGCAGGAUGUGCAGAGUUUAUGGUCUUUGCUUGCAGGGCAAGAGAGCUGGACUUAUUUCCUUGCUUAGCAUCCUGCUGUAAGAUGCAGGUGAGCCAAUUUCUGCCUCUCUUCCACCAUCCUGCUAAAACCCUGUUACUGCUUGCCUGGAUGAAGCUAUUGGCUUUUUUGCAUGGUGCAGAUGUGCCAGAAAAAUUGCAAGAGGACUGUUGAAAACCCUUUGCUUAUUGGUGUACUUUACCCAUCUGCCAUCUUUGGCAGCUCCUUAGGCCCAUGUGGGCUGAGGUCUGUCUAGAACAGCAGCCUCUGGGUGUCUGGAUCCCAGUUUGGGUGCCAAACAUAUUCCUAUUCCUCAUGAAUGUUUUGCUGAGUUUCUGGGCUGGUGGAAAUCUUGUGUGUUAAGCACUGCUGUGUUAUUGGUAUUCCUGUGGUCAGCCCCUGUGCUUGGGGCCUCUCCAGGCACCCAGGCAAUGGCAAGCCAAACCCAGCAGUGCAGUGCUUUUGUCUUGCUUUAAUUAAUUAGAGUAGGACACAACUAUUAGCAGCGUGUUUUUGUUUCCAUUUGUUCGUUCUGACAGCAACCAAAGGAAGCCAUUAUCUCUGUGAGAGGAUGUUUCAGCAAGUGUUGUGGUAAAUAAAGCUAACAGGAUCAGUGCAAAGGAGAGAUCACAUUCUCUUAAGGACAGCAAUCGAUAAUCAGGCUGUUACAUGCCAAAUCCUUUCCAGAGGCACGAUAGCGAGUUCACACUCAGAUCAGCCUUUAAUCUUGAGGGAUCACUGACCUCUCUACUGGCUGAUAUAUUUCCCACAGUCUACCUGCUCUGUAACACAGGUUUCCCUGUAAGACAUGCAGCAGUUCUUUCAGCGCUUUUGGGCACAAAGAAAAUAAGUUGAUGGCAGCUACCUGUCCAUUUUGGCCAAGACAUUUCUCUAUGGAUCAGGCUAAAGAUGGAAGGCCAGAUCUGGGCUUGAAGCUGGAUAAUGUUUUGCAGCUUUCCCUUCUCCAUGAGCAGCAGCAACGUUGAGCACACCAUAGCGUCCUAGAAACUGUGUGCUCCUCUGGCCCCUAAGGCAGGGAGAGCAGCCUCAGUUUAACUUUCCUGCAGCGCUUGGCUGCAAGCACCAUUAUUAUUGGAAGCAAAAUUACACUGAAGGCCUGUUCUUCAUGCUGACAAAUAAAAUACUUAAGUGAUGUGAUGUUGGUUAAAACAUCUUAACAUUUUUUUGUGCAACCCUGGAGAAAAAUGAUGAGACUUAUACUGCAGGGUGUUCAUUCUUGAGAUCUCCAGUGUUUCCUAUACUCAUUUUAGUGUAAGUCUUUUGAUUUUUGUUGUUUGGUGCAAAGGUGUGGGCAUUAGAUGAGCUACUCAAUUUUAUUUUUAAAAAAACAGGUUUGUAGCCCUCAGGGAUUUGCAGAAAAGUUUGAAAAUCUGAUCAUAAACUUCCGGAAAUCAGAGUGCAAGUAGGAAAAGCUCAAAUGUUUAUAAUUUUCUGUGAAAAACAGAACAAAAUGCCUUGCAGUUUUAAAGUUGUGAUUCUCUGGAGCCUGAUGCAUAAUUUUUGAGUAUUUGGGGUUGGCAGUGCUGGAAAGGAUGCUUUUCUCUCCCCAGAUCAUAUUUUUCUGCUGGGAAUUUUAAUUACCAGCUUUAACUCUUUCUGCAUCUUUUUCUUGGCAGGCCUUCCUGUAGCUGAGGAGCCUCCCCCAUCUCUGGGGGCUUGGAAGGGCAGCCAGAGGUGGUGACAGUGGCCAGGAUUCCCCCAGUGGCAGAGGCUGGACUGCCCUGCCUGGUUGUGUCUGGCCACAUCCUUCAGACCUGUUGGGCAGCAAAACCUCUCCAAAGUCUUGCAGCCCACUGUCCUGCUGGGGAAGAUCCAGGGAGCUCACCAGGGGCAGAAGCACCCCUUGUCCCCCUCUCAGUUGCAGCCAGGGUGUGAACAGCUUGGUUUGGAAGGUUAUUUCCCACCUGCAAAGCUUGCUGUAGGGAUGUGAUCUUCCCUGAGGACUCAGGAAGAACAGGGACUCUUUCCUCCAGGGGCUUGUUUGCAUGGCUGGUGACUCCUGUGAGCAGGGCCCCAGUGUGAUCCUGCUCUCAGCAGGGCACAGAAAGGCACAGUGCAUUCCCAGAAAUCCUGCAGGGAUACAGCAACACUGCUGGGCUCUUCCCUCUGCUUCUCCCUUCCCAAGCCACCUCCCCUGGGCACUACUCUUUCAUAUUUUUAGAAAACACAGUUGAUGUUUUUCAGCGCUGGCUUUGCACGUCAGCAGCCAUUGCACAACGAGCUCUCAGGGGCCAUUUAUUUCACAAGCCAGGGUCGUACCCUGUGACAGUGCUUUCCGUCACCUCCUCAAGAGCACUCUGGGCUCGAGUUGCUUCAAAAUGGCAGCUAUUGUUCAGUGUCCCAUGCCCUGCUUGAAACCAGGCCUCCCCCAGACACAUUUCAAUAGUUCUUCUCUGUGAUCUAUUUAUCCCCACGUGCUUUCAGGGAGAGUGGGGAAGGGCUUAUUCCUCUUUUAGGGACCAAUGCACCAACAUGCUGCAAGCAGCCCCUUUCUCUGCCUCCCAGCUUUCUGAGCUAGUCCUAAUUUAAUCUAGCGUAAGCCCCUUGCAGAGUUGGAGGAUCUGGAGGCUGGCUGUGCUCACUUUAACAAGGUCUAUGCUGGAUGGGCAUGAACCAGCCCAUCCUUUACAGAAUGAUGCCUGCAAAAAGGGAAGUUAUUAUUUGAAUUUAUUAAAAAAAUAAAAAUAUCAGCCCUCUGGAUAAAGGAGGGCAACAAUGAGCAGCACUUUGUUUUACAGCUAGAGGGUGACUGUGAAGACUAGGGGAGAAAUUUGUUAAUUCCCUUUGGUAAGAGAAUUGGCAAGACAAGUAAAAAACUUCAGAGGCUACAGGCUGGCUGGGCAAAGUCCGGAUGCCCUCCCUCAUUGGCUGGGCUUGGAUACUCUGUAUGUUAAUAUGGUGAACACUUAUUUACAUUAUAUAUCCAUCAUUUCGCACAAAAAUAUCUUAUUACACAGAGCUUGUUUCUCCACCCCUCUAUUGUAAGCACCUGUGCAUUGUGUGGGUCCUGUGGAACCAACCUUAGCUAACCCAUGCCACCUCUAACUAAUCUUUCAGGGCUCUGACUAUUUUCACAUUUUCCUAGUUGGGCUAAGUGCCAUUCCAAAUUGUCAGCCUGGUGCCACCUACACUGAUUUAUAUUCCCUGAGAAAUACAGCUGUAACUAUCUCAAUUACAAGAGACCGCGAAACUAUAAAUGUCUCCAAAGUUGUGAAGAAUGCCCCAGUCGUGGACCACAACAAUCCUGCCUCCCUAAAUUUUUUUCCAUAAUAUUUUCCUGAAUUUGCCUGCAUCUGAUACUUCAGCUGAAAUGAUGUAUUCCAUUCCAUAUGUACUUCCAGCAUGUGCACAUCUGCAUGGCACACUAUCUGCUUCCCCAUGAUGCCCUCACUUCCAGACUGUACCAGGACUCUUUUCUCCCACUAAAGCUUCUCCCUAGGCAAAGACCUUUUUUGGUUUUCCUGUUCAUCCCUAUAUUUGUUCAUCCAGUUUGAAAUAAGCUCCCCAUAACCCGGGAUGUUAUUCGUGUUUGUUUUGGGCUGGUUCAGGGUUUUGCUAGCAAAGAAGGCACAAUUCUUGCAGGUUCUUAGGACAAUGUACUUUAUUUCAGGCACAAGCAAACCAAUUGUACAUAGCAUGUGCAACACUGCAUUCACCCACAGAGGUAUAAAGGGUAAUGAUAAUGUUGCCCAGAAGGCUAACACAUCAAAGGCCAAGGAGCAGUUAAAAUGUAUUAUGAGCUGUUGGCAGUGAUUGUGGGGGGUAUUUGUGUGUUGCUGAUUUGGACGGCCGGAGUAAAUGAAAACCCUCUGGAUUAAUUGGUACACCAAAGAGAUUUGGAGGAAAAUGGAGGCUGAUGGAAAAUGACAAACACGGGAAAAUACAGAUAGCUGGGGGUGCUGACCUGCUGUGGAAGAUUGUUGAUUAACUUGCAGCUCCCUACUGUGCUCUGGAAAGCCAGGCAGAACUGGGGGUGUGCUCCGCCAGCAUCUCACCCAGCACUUUGGUGGGAGCAGACUGAGCCCCACAGGCAGCAUCUGCAGUGCUGCUAUUCCAGCACAGCCAAGUGGGUAGUUAGAGGUGAGACUUACCAGGUGUCUUGUGACACCUGGACACCACCAGACAAGAGUUUAGUUACUUUUAAUGAUGUGGGGUGGGGGAGGGAGAGGAGGCUGUGUGGUGCCUGGUGUCAUAGAGUAACUGAAGCCGGGAACUUCAAAAUUUGCCACAGAAUCUGCUGGCUGAAUCAGAUGACAACCAGAAUUGAAUUACAUGGUCCCAUCUGUAGCUCGGAUACCCAUAUUCCAACUACUAUUUUGUGGUUUAUUAUUGACACUUCAAUUUUACAUAAAUGGCAUCUAACCUAAGUGUUACAGUGGCAGCCAUGCAAACUCCAGUCAUACCCACUCAGUCACGAGCUAAUUGAGCAGCUGGAGCAGGAGCACUCAACACAGCACCAGGUAAGUCAUGCCCUUAACACACCACCUGCCUAGUGGUUGGGGCAGGCAUCCUCAUGCUGAAGAUAGUGGUCAACUGGGAGUCUUUCAUGCAUCCACAUUGAGGCUGCAAAAGACGGUUCCUGUCUUCUUUCUGAUCAGCAGCUGUGUUCACCAAUGGGUUUCUAAAAUAAAUGUGCCUAAGCCAACCUGCCACAACUUGUGCUGGUGUCAGUGAUCUCUCAUCUGGACAUCACAUGGCUCAUCCUGCCAAGUAUUUCUUCUCUCUUAUCGUGGUCUGACCUACUCAUCGCACACUCUGGUAGAGACGCUCUUUUACUGCUAGUCUUGAUGGGACACCUCCAGUUUGGGUGGUUUUCUGUUCUGUUCUACCAGUUCUGUAGCUCAGGAGUUUGUUUCAUCCCUGUACUCAACUCCCCACUUUGCAUAUUUCUCUCUUGCAGACUUGAGGAAUCCUUGUCACGGGAAGAAAAGCACAGAAGGUGAUGUGCCUCUGGUCACCUGGUGAUUUACAAGGUCUCUUCUCUCAUUAUCAUUUCAGGGCAUGGAGGAGGGGAAGAAAGAGGCUGCUCUAACUGACAGGUUCUCCUUCUGGCAGCUAUGUGGGUGUGAUGGGGAUUGAAGGGAUGAAACCCAGCAACUGGCAAGGCUGCUGCAAGCUGUUUCUGAGGUGGCGACAAUCAUCACCUGGAAGGCAGCCCAUCUCAGAUCCACACUCCUCUUGCAGCCCAGGACAGCCCUGUGAUGGAGAAAGUCUUCUACAUGUUCUUUUAGGCUUUUGCAAGAGUCUCAUGAAGAAACUGCAACAUCUCAGCAAGAAACUGAUUUUGCAUCAGAUAUGAGAUACAGAUGCAGAUACUCAGAGAGCCUGUAAGCCCUGGGCUCCUGCCAACCCACAAGGAAUGAGUCUGGAGGGUACUGUUUGGGCAACCAUGGAACGCAAGAGAGUGUUCAGCUGUAGAUGCAAUAUGACUUGUCCCUGCAGUUUAUUUUAACAUGCUUAGAGGGUAAAUGAGUUUGGAAGUGUUGGAGAGAAUCAGAGAAUUAGCAGAAUGAAAUAUUAUGCAUUACUUAUAAAAAAAGAGAAAUAUAUCUACUGGUGCAACACUGUAUGUCUAGGGAUGAUGAUAGGUGCUGCUUUUGCAGAAGUGCCGGCUGGGAAAUAUUUAAAGAAGUUUUUUUCCCUCAGUAAGGAAGAGACCAAGAUAAAGAAAAUUCCCCCAGGUGAAGGUACUAGGGAAGGACUGGUCUAUAGCAGGGAAACUGAGGCAAUGGGUGCUGAGUGUCUGGCAGGAGAGGAGCUUAGAGUCUCAGUCCUGGCCAGUUUGGUCUAGAGGGCUAGGGUGUAUGUGGCUUAUCUGGUCACGUCAGCUAUCCCACCAGUGGGAGAGAGCCACAGUGGACCCCUCACAGUGUCCUCAGCUUAUAGGAACAAUACAGGACCUGGCACCAGGGGACUCUGAAAAUAUGUCAUGGAGGAAGUCAACACUGAAAGACUGUGAAAAAUAAAUGUACAGAGAUGUUUUUGAAUGUCUUUUAGCUUUCUGGAAGAAGAAGGCUGUCCUUAGCAAAUGGGAAACAGAACAGCUAAAAAGCUUUGGUGGGCAGAGAGGGAACACAGGGGAAGAUUUUAUUCCCUGGUUUAGCUGUUACUUGGCACAGAGAACUCCUGGGAUCACUUUCUCUGAGAGGCCAGUGACACAGCCAGCCAUAUUUGUAGCCCUCAGCUGGACAGCAAGAACACUGUAGGUGAGUCCAUACAAAGUCAUCCAGCUGUUACUGGAUGCAGCAUAAGAAUUACACUUACUGAGGUGAAAGUAGAUACAUCGAUCCACCUUGGGCAUGCAGUGCAUGAUUAGGAGCAUGUCAUCUUUCUCCAUAUUAGCAUGUUCUUAAUUAUGCUCAGGGGAGAGGAUCCUCAGCAAUAUAAAUUAGCAUCACAAGCCAAAUUAUACUGCAGCUGUGACAUUCCUACACUCUUCCCUCUAUUUUUAAAGGACAUGUUGUUUUUAACACUUGUUCCCAAAACAGGAGAUUAUUCAAACCAGUUUCCUGUUAUUGACAUCAGCACCAAACCCUGGGCCCACCCUGGAGGAGAGCAGGAGGACUCUAAACUGGGUUGUGUGUGACCCCUGUGGUGAUGGUAGAGAUGGCUGUGCCAGCCCUAAACACCCUGGUUUUUAGGUACCGUGUGGACAGCCACCACCUGUGUUUGACAGUGCACUUGUACUGGAAAUUCCCAGGCAUGUGGGACCUCCUACAGACUGAAAGGCAUUCUCUGGUCAUGGGGCUGGAGGCCUGGUAGUUCUUUGGUGUUGCAACCAGCCCUGAGAGGGUCCUGGGGGUGCCACUGAAAGGCACGGUGGAUGUGCUACGUGUGGGAGUUACAGUGCUCACACACACAUGCAUGUAUAAGCAGUAUUGGUCCCUCCUGUGAUAAAUGGCUCUAACUACAGCUUUGUAAAAUUUUGAAUUUCUGUUUUUCAGAACAGAACAAACUGGGGCAAAGAUUAGGAGAAAUUGUUUCCUGGAAUUAUAACAGUCAUGUUCAGAAAUGUUUCCCUGUUCUGUUUUGACAUUUUUUUGGA